rnacentral:lncRNA from 1 species
CCCCAAGGCACCCUCUCGGAUCGCUAGAGAAGGCUUUCUCACCGAGGGCGUGUCGCCCCCGCCCAUCGUCCGCCAUCGGGCCCACCAAGGCGCUUACAGACACCAUGGCCACACAACGCAGGAGGGGUCUGCGGUAGAGGUAAGGCCUAGAGCAAGUCGGAGACUCCGUGGUCAGGGCCGCGAGCCCGAGCUGCCCCGGGCUCACCAUCUCCGGCCACACUGGGCUUAGCUAGGGAUCUAAAAGGCCCCUGUGCGGCUCCCAAGUCAGUGCCUCCCCUCAGGCCGAGACCAAGGGAGGCAGAGACUGGGACGGAGGUGCCGAUCAAACAGCACCUCCCAACCAAAGAGCCAGCAUCACGCCGCUGGCUCGGCCCACCACGAUCACUCCCACACCCGCGUGGAAACCCCAGCAAGGGGAACACGCGGGCACGCGCCCGAGCCUGCCCGCCCCCACACGGCACGCCGUGUGGGGGGCGACGUGGCACCCGUCCCCCCCGAGGGGGACGGGCACGCCUCCCUUACCGACUCGACCCCCCGCUUCUCAGACACACCAGCGCAGCGGUCACCUGAGGAGGGCGACGGGAACAGGGAACGACACCGCCACUCGGCCUCGGGCACCUGAGGGACGACCUGGAACACUCCAGGGGCACCGCCAACGGCCGGGGGAGCGCGCUCACGCGCCCAAGAAGGCGCGCGGCACGGCGGCAACACGGCCCGCCCCACCGUGGGGAGGGCCGCCCGCGAGACACAGCCAAGAGGCACAGGCGGAGCAUCCGCCGCGUCACGGAGACCCCGACACCGCCCACGCCACAAGGCACGGGGCGGGGGAGCGAGGUCGGGCCGGAUUCCGCACCCCUGCCACCUCCCACACGCCACUCGCAGCGGGAGAGAACGGGCGAGGGGGCCCGCGGGCAGAGCGAGAAGAGCGGUCCCGUUCGCCAUGAACGUCCGUCCCUCGUCUGGCACGGCUUAGGCCCGGCCCAGGAGAGCACAGCAUCACCACAUCGAUCAGCAGCAUAACGCGAGGGAUCCCCGAGCAAGGGAAGGCCGGCGAGGACAGCGAGCGGAGGAGCCUGCUUCAGCCUCACCGGCCCCCCUCCUCCUCCAGCAAGCGCGGGCGACGACCCCAGGACGAGAACGCCUGACACGCACUGGCACGGAGCCGGUGGGACGGGGUAAGUCGCGACCGCACCCGGCUGCCGGCGGGGAGUGCACGUGGUAGAGGACCCCGCGCCCCUAACCCCGCCGCCCUCGGGUACCAGAGACCGGAGGUGGCACCACGGUCGCGGGGACGCCUGGAACGCACAAGAGCCGGCGCGCAGGCCCCAGCGGGCGGCUCCAGUGGCGGGGGUGGAAACGGGCGUCCGGUUCUCGGCCAGAGCCCGGAGACCUCCCCGCACACGCAUCCAGGCACCCAGAAGCUCUCGGGCGACUGUCACCCGAGCAGAGCGUGUCAGCACUUAUCUGGCGGCACAAAACCACCCAUUCAGGGGCAAGAAUCGCCGCGCCCGGAGACGGGGCCCACCCACGGAUCACGAGGGGAACCCCUGG